rnacentral:rRNA from 1 species
AUGGCCGCUAUCGUCUUGAUGGGUAGGUCCAGCGCAAUCAUCGCGUGCAGAGGGAUCGAGCAUAGCGCUGAGAGGACCAGAAUGAGUCUGCCACUUUUGGGUAGGGUCGCCCCCUUCCAGGUGGGCAGACGAGUUGCCAGCGUCUCCACCAAUCCGCUUAGUUGUGCCGCUGAGGGUUUCUUCAGACAUAGGGGGAGGCCUAGGUAUUUGCAUGGGAAUGAUCCAAUACUGCAUCCCAGGAUACCUUCCACGCGCGCCACCUCAUCCUCCGAGCAUCGUAUGGGCAUGGCCGAGGUUUUUUGCAUAUUUACCCGGAGGCCAGACGCCAUGCCAUACAUUUGCAAGAUCCUUGAAGUGGUAGUUAGCUCAAGGUCCACCGGUUUGAUGAAAACGAUCACAUCAUCCGCGAAGAUGGACAAGCGGUGCUCAAGACCUGUGCGCGCCAGUGGAGUCAGAAUGCCGAGCUCGGAGGCCAACUUGAAGAGACGGUGCAGUGGCUCCAUGAUAAGAAUGAAGAGCAUCGGCGAUAACGGGCCUCCUUGGCGGAGCCCGCAGCAAUUGAAGAUCGGGGCCCCGGGCACUCCAUUUACCAUGAUGCGGGUGGACGACGUGGAGAGGAGUCCCACUAUCCAAGAUAUCCACCGUGCGCCAAAACCCAUGCGUUGCAGAACUUCGAGAAGAAAGGGCCACUGGACCGUGUCGAAAGCCUUUGAGAUAUCCAAUUUCACCAUCACGGCCGGUUGCUUUAAGGCGUGGAGACGUCGAGCCGUGCAUUGGGCGAGUAUGAAAUUAUCAUGGAGGAAUCGGCCCUUAACAAAGGCACUUUGGUGUUGGCCCACCAAGUGCGGCAGCUCGUUCGUGAGUCGGCAGGCCAAAACCUUGUCGAAGAUUUUUGCCGCGCCAUGUACCAGACUGACCGGACGGUAA